rnacentral:rRNA from 1 species
UACGGAGGGUGCAAGCGUUAUCCGGAUUCACUGGGUUUAAAGGGUGCGUAGGUGGGCAAGUAAGUCAGUGGUGAAAUCUCCGGGCUUAACCCGGAAACUGCCAUUGAUACUAUUUGUCUUGAAUACUGUGGAGGUCAGCGGAAUAUGUCAUGUAGCGGUGAAAUGCUUAGAUAUGACAUAGAACACCAAUUGCGAAGGCAGCUCGCUACACAUAUAUUGACACUGAGGCACGAAAGCGUGGGGAUCAAACAGG